rnacentral:tRNA from 1 species
GUCUCUGUGGCGCAAUCGGUUAGCGCGUUCGGCUGUUAAACUGAAAGGUUGGUGGUUCAAGCCCACACAGGGACG